AGAGGGCAGCAAGCUGGUCGUGAGGAGUUGCAAUUUGUCCUAAUGAACUCAUAUUGCACUCGUCCCGGCCUGCUUGCCUGUCC
rnacentral:pre_miRNA from 1 species